AUGGGGGAUACCAUUUGUCACUAAUCUCCAUCUGAAAACAUGUGGGAUGUGCUCAGGCAACAAGGCUAUGGAUCACUGCUGGCCAUCUAUGCAUAAACAUGUAAAAGAGACUGAACUAACAGCUGCCAUGUAUUAAAAAGGCAGAAUUUUGACUGAAAAUAAUAUGAGUUCUACGCAUGGAGUAGUUGCUGAUUUGGGAUAUGUGUUGGCUUCUAAAUCGGCAGGAUUAGAGAGAAGCAAAACCUAUGGAGAAAAGUCCUAAGAUGCUGCAUUUAAUUGUAAAAAGCAAAAUGAGCAAACUGAUAAUUUUCCUCAAUUUGUUUCCUCACCAAAAAUGUCCAUGCAUUUAUAUUUUCAUGUUUUGACGAGUUUAUUUUAGAGGGAUAAUUGGGGAAAGCAGCUUUUCCUACCCUUAUUCUUUUUAAUUCAUUUUGUUCAUUUUCUGUUUACAUCCCUGCUGUCCUAAAGCUUUAGACUGUUUGCUUACAGGGCUUCAUCAAUGUAACACAUUACAUUGUUGGCUAUUUACAGUCACAUAGGUAAACCACUAUUUACAGUAUAUGACAGAACUCAAUAUACACACAAUUAUUUGGCAAAGAGAUUCGGCAUGCAUUGAGUACUAUGAAAAACAAACAGGUCUGGGAGCACACACUUGACUUAAUGUUCAAAUUGUUCAUACUUCUCAGUAAAGUAGAAACCAUUUGGGAAUUUUGCUGCAGAAUUGGUGCGAAAAGAACUGAGAAAUAAUACUAUCAUUACAAAAGGAAAGUCCAGAUAUACAACAGUUAAUGAGAAAAAUUGUUGAAAAUACUCUAAUUUUUUGAUACAUUUCACCAAAACCAGAAGAAGAGCAGCAUCAUUAUUACAUGAACAGAGCUCUAGCAUCAGUGCAAAGCUUGUCAGAUCUAAUACAAUCAGCUAUAAAACUGACGCAGGGAAUCAUGACCCUACAUCUCAGCUGCCACACUAGACUUCUCCCACCCAAAAGAACAUAAUUAAAUAAUUUCAGCUAAAGAAUGUUCUCCAGUUUUAUAAUUAAUAACAUGUACAUUCACCACAUUAACCUGAUGUAGUUGUAAAAGUAUGUAAAAUGAUUAGUAAAGGUAAAUUAUGGCUGAUUAAUUAUGGCUGAUUUCCUUCCAAAAACUGGCUGAUACCAAUUGCAGCCUACUUUUUGAAGAUCAAGACUACGUCAAAACUUACACACCGAAACACAAAGACCAG
ensembl:lncRNA